UCAGGGCGGGCGCUGGCGGCGUGCCUAACACAUGCAAGUCGAGCGAAGCUUUUCAAGUGGAUCCCUUCGGGGUGAAACUUUAACUGUCUUAGCGGCGGACGGGUGAGUAACGCGUGAGGAACCUGCCUUUCACAAAGGGAUAGCCUCGGGAAACUGGGAUUAAUACCUUAUGAUACUCUUUUCCAACAUUGGAGAGAAGUUAAAGCGCANAGCGGUGAAAGAUGGUCUCGCGUCCCAUUAGUUAGUUGGUGAGGUAACGGCUCACCUUGACUGUGAUGGGUAGCCGGCCUGAGAGGGUGAACGGCCACACUGGAACUGAGACACGGUCCAGACUCCUACGCGAGGC
rnacentral:rRNA from 1 species